AUGGGAGAGAUUCGGGUCAAGUUUUGGAAGGAAAAAGGUGAGGAAGUAGGAUGCGGACGUUCUAAAGGGAGGGAAAGAGCCACGUGUGUAGCAGCCAGCUGUGGGGCUGAACCAGCGCAGGCAUGCUCAUUAGAAAGCCAUGCAACCCUGUUCCUGCACAACUCACUUCGAGCCCUUCUUCCUGCUCUCUUGGCGCUGCUGCUGAGGGUCACGUGGCAGCUGCUCCACCAGGGCUCUAUGAAUGACCGCUUGCUCCCAGCUCUCAAGAUGCUUCCAGGCUCUUCCUUCCUGGUUGUGGAUGCAGAGCUGGAAACCGGAAAUUCCCUCUGUUGUAAGUCCCCUUCCCUAGGAGCUGUCCUCACCGGAGCUUGACAGAGCUGAGCUUGAGUUCUGAGAGCAAGGUAGUAUGACACUAAGACACUGAGAGAAGUGAAUUUCUUGUUACUUGCUCUUCCAUCUUUUCUGCACCUCAGCACUCAGUGGCCCUCAUUCUUGGUUUGUAUCCUGUAAGCAUAUGGGGUCUGAGACUGGGCCAUCUGCAGGGUGGCUUGCCUUUGGUGCCCACUUAUUACUCAACUCCCCUUUCCUCCCAGGCCUUUAGGUACAUCUGAAAAAGUAGCCUGCCCCCAGUGUCUCGUGGGCUGUAACUCCUGAGGGGAUGGGGUCUAUUUUCUAUCUCUUGGCUUUGUACUGACAGAGUUAGACCUAACUUCAGCUCCAUCAUUUAGUAGCAAAUUAGGUAUAACCUUGUGAAUGGAGAGUUCUUUACUUUGAAGGCUGUGGUUAGCUUCUGUUUUGAGACAGACUAUGUAUGUAGCCCAGCCUGGCCUUAAAGUCACAGUAAUCAAUCACCCUGCCUCAGCCUCCUGGGCACCAAGGUUACAGAAGUUAUGUCACCAUGCCUGGCUACCUACCACAAUAGUGUUUUGUCAUUAUUUUCUUUAAAGAUUUAGUUUAUCAUCACCCCAUGUCUCUCCAUGUGUAUGCCAUUCAUGUGGGUCCUCUGGAAGCCAGAGGAGGGUGUGGGAUCCUCUGGGGCUGGAGUUCCAGGUGGGUUCAGGUCACUCAAUGUGCAUACUGGGAACCAAACUCAGGCCCUCUAGAAGAGCAAGCUCUCUUGACUUCUGGGCCAUCUCUCCAGCCCUUUAGCAGUUUGUGUGGGAAACUGAUGAAACUUCGGUGGCAAGUUAGUCAGAUUAGCUGUCAGCAAGUGUGACGGUUUGCAUAUACUUUGUGCAGGGAGUGUCACUAUUAGAAGGUGUGGCCCUGUUGGAGUAGGUGUGUCACUGUGGGUGUGGCCUUUAAGACCCUCAUCCUAGCUGCCUGGAAGUGAGUAUUCUGCUAGCAGCCUUCAGAUGAAGAUGUUGAACUCUCAGCUCCUCCUUCACCAUGCCUGCCUGGAUGCUGCCAUGUUCCUGCCUUGAUGAUACUGGACUGAACCUCUGAACCUGUAAGCCAGCCCCAGUUAAAUGUUGUCCUUAUAAGACUUGCCUUGGUCAUGGUGUCUGUUCACAGCAGUAAAACCCUAAAACAAGAAACAGAUAGGAAUGAAGAAAAGAGACUUGGGCUCUCCAAAGGCUUGCCCUGUGGUCUUGUACAGAGCCUGUGUUAGAUUGUUAGCAGUCUCUGACUCACAGUGAGUUCUUUUUUUGGAUGCAACUGAAAUGGACUGUAACUUAAUCAUAAAGGAAUUUUCUAGAAAGGGGUGGACUGGUUCUUAGAGGCUGAAGAGCCAGAGGGAUGAGAUGAUUCUCUGCCUCAAAUUGGGGGAAAAGAAUCUCUCUAUUCCAAUGUGUUUUGUUACCCUUUCUCUUGAGAAUCCAGGUUGACAGGGACCCAAUGGCCUAAUUGGGAUCUAUGCAUUGUCAUCUUUCGUUUAAUAGUAUCCCCAGUAAGAAAAAUUAUGUUGUCAACCCAAAGUAAGACAUUCCUAGUAGGUGGCUAUUUCAUCCUUUCUUUCCCAGGGGAUGUUUACUGCUUGAGGAGAAAUCCAAAACAGGAGCUAAUGCAGUUUCCGUUUAAGAAAUGGCUGAAAGAACUAAGAAUAGAACCAAAGAAGAGAGGACUGGGUUAGUUUAGCAUGGCUGUCCUUAGAUACUAUAAGGCCUCUCUCACAGAAGCAAGAACAGUUUGUAUUCUGUUUAUCUAAAAGAAAAAAAAACUAAAGCCAAGAAAGGGACUAUCAAGUGAAACAGGCCGAGGUGGUACACAACAGUAAGAUGAGCCACAGACAAGGAGGCAGGAGGGUCAUGAGUUCAAGGCUAGCCUGAACUUACGGGGCUCAAUGGUUGAGAACACUGGCUGCUCUUGCAGAGGUCCCAGGUUCAGUUUGUAGCACCUACCCAGUAUCUCACAAGCACCUGUAAUUCUAGUUCCAGGGCACUGGACACCCACUUCUGGCCUCCGCAGACACCAAGCAUACACAUAGUACACAUACAUACAUGCAAGCACAUAUUUACACAUAACGUAAAUCUAAAUAAAUUGGAAGGGAAACGGUUUUCUUUGCA
ensembl:lncRNA